rnacentral:rRNA from 1 species
CAGUAGAUAUACUUGUCUCAAAGAUUAACCCAUCAUGUCUAAGUACACACCUUUACACGCAAAACUGCGAAUGGCUCAUUAAAUCAGUUAUGGUUCCUUAGAUCGUACAAUCCUACUUGGAUAACUGUGGCAAUUCUAGAGCUAAUACAUGCAACACAGCUCCGACCUUACGGGAAGAGCGCUUUUGUUAGCCCAAAACCAAUCCGGUCCUCGUGGCCGGUCCUUGAAUGGUGACUCUGAACAACUUUGUGCCGAUCGUAUGCCCUAGCGGCGACGACGUAUCUUUCAAAUGUCUGCCCUAUCAACUGUCGAUGGUACGUGCUAUGCCUACCAUGGUGAUAACGGGUAACGGGGAAUCAGGGUUCGAUUCCGGAGAGGGAGCAUGAGAUACGGCUACCACAUCCAAGGAAGGCAGCAGGCGCCAAAUUACCCACUCCCGACACGGGGAGGUAGUGCGAAAAAUAACAAUACGGGACUCUUUCGAGGCCCCGUAAUUGGAAUGAGUACACUUUAAAUCCUUUAACGAGGAUCCAUUGGAGGAAGU